rnacentral:rRNA from 1 species
GACGAACGCUGGCGGCGUGCUUAACACAUGCAAGUCGAACGGAAAGGCCCUGCUUUUGUGGGGUGCUCGAGUGGCGAACGGGUGAGUAACACGUGAGUAACCUGCCCUUGACUUUGGGAUAACUUCAGGAAACUGGGGCUAAUACCGGAUAGGAGCUCCUGCUGCAUGGUGGGGGUUGGAAAGUUUCGGCGGUUGGGGAUGGACUCGUGGCUUAUCAGCUUGUUGGUGGGGUAGUGGCUUACCAAGGCUUUGACGGGUAGCCGGCCUGAGAGGGUGACCGGCCACAUUGGGACUGAGAUACGGCCCAGACUCCUACGGGAGGCAGCAGUGGGGAAUAUUGCACAAUGGGCGGAAGCCUGAUGCAGCAACGCCGCGUGCGGGAUGACGGCCUUCGGGUUGUAAACCGCUUUCGCCUGUGACGAAGCGUGAGAGACGGAAUGGGUAAAGAAGCACCGGCUAACUACGUG